rnacentral:rRNA from 1 species
UACGGAGGGUACAAACGUUAAUCGGAAUUACUGGGCGUAAAGCGCGCGUAGGUGGUUCGGUAAGUGGGAUGUGAAAGCCCCGGGCUCAACCCGGGAACUGCAUUCCAAACUGCCGGGCUAGAGUAUGGUAGAGGGAGGUAGAAUUUCCUGUGUAGCGGUGAAAUGCGUAGAUAUAGGAAGGAAUACCGGUGGCGAAGGCGGCCUCCUGGACCAAUACUGACACUGAGGUGCGAAAGCGUGGGGAGCAAAC